UGUGGGAGCGAGCCUGCUCGCGAUUCAGGCGACUCGGUCUGGCUUUGAACCGAGGUGAUGCCAUCGCGAGCAGGCUCGCUCCCACA
rnacentral:misc_RNA from 1 species